GGAUGUGAGGGCGAUCUGGCUGCGACAUCUGUCACCCCAUUGAUCGCCAGGGUUGAUUCGGCUGAUCUGGCUGGCUAGGCGGGUGUCCCCUUCCUCCCUCACCGCUCCAUGUGCGUCCCUCCCGAAGCUGCGCGCUCGGUGGAAGAGGACGACCUUCCCCGGUAGAGGAGGACCGUUCUUCGGUCAAGGGUAUACGAGUAGCUGCGCUCCCCUGCUAGAACCUCCAAACAAGCUCUCAAGGUCCAUUUGUAGGAGAACGUAGGGUAGUCAAGCUUCCAAGACUCCAGACACAUCCAAAUGAGGCGCUGCACGUGGCAGUCUGCCUUUCUUA
rnacentral:snRNA from 1 species